rnacentral:rRNA from 1 species
CCUACGGGUGGCAGCAGUGGGGAAUAUUGCACAAUGGGGGAAACCCUGAUGCAGCAACGCCGCGUGAAGGAAGACGGUUUUCGGAUUGUAAACUUCUGUUCUUAGUGAAGAAUAAUGACGGUAGCUAAGGAGCAAGCCACGGCUAACUACGUGCCAGCAGCCGCGGUAAUACGUAGGGGGCAAGCGUUGUCCGGAAUUACUGGGGGUAAGGGGAGCGCAGGCGGGAAGCAAAGUCAGCUGUUAAAACUGCGGGCUUAACUUGUGGACUGCAGUUGAAACGGGUUUUCUUGAGUGAGGUAGAGGUUGGCGGAAUUCCGAGUGUAGCGGUGAAAUGCGUAGAUAGUGGGAGGAACACCGAUGGCGAAGGCGGCCAACUGGGCUUUAACUGACGCUGAGGCUCGAAAGUGUGGGGAGCAAACAGGAUUAGAUACCCUAGUAGUC